GAUGAACGCUAGCGGGAGGCCUAACACAUGCAAGCCGAGCGGUAUUGUUUCUUCGGAAAUGAGAGAGCGGCGUACGGGUGCGUAACACGUGUGCAACCUGCCUUUAUCUGGGGGAUAGCCUUUCGAAAGGAAGAUUAAUACUCCAUAAUAUAUUGAACGGCAUCGUUUAAUAUUGAAAGCUCCGGCGGAUAGAGAUGGGCACGCGCAAGAUUAGCUAGUUGGUGAGGUAACGGCUCACCAAGGCGAUGAUCUUUAGGGGGCCUGAGAGGGUGAUCCCCCACACUGGUACUGAGACACGGACCAGACUCCUACGGGAGGCAGCAGUGAGGAAUAUUGGUCAAUGGGUGCAAGCCUGAACCAGCCAUCCCGCGUGAAGGACGACUGCCCUAUGGGUUGUAAACUUCUUUUGUAUAGGGAUAAACCUACCCUCGUGAGGGUAGCUGAAGGUACUAUACGAAUAAGCACCGGCCAACUCCGUG
rnacentral:rRNA from 1 species